ACCCUAUUAGCCGCGUCGCAUAGCGUAUCUCGCCGCGCCGUAACGUCCGCGCGGCUACGGACCGCGGUGCUGUACGACGUCGUAAAUACGAUAAAACUCGCCGGGACGAUACGCGCUGAAAUGUCUUAUACGGGCGAGGGCACCCACCCAUAUCUCGAAACCUGUGACGGGGUGACGGUCAUAGAUAGACGACCUAGGAUAAUGGGU